CUUCGAGGUCCUCAGGGGAGAGGUCCUCAUCAGACUCAGUGACGUUCACAUUGAACGUACCGCGGUUCGAGUCCAUUUCGAGGUC
rnacentral:tRNA from 1 species